CAGUCGCCGCGGUAAUACGGAGGGAGCUAGCGUUGUUCGGAAUUACUGGGCGUAAAGCGCACGUAGGCGGUUAUUCAAGUCAGAGGUGAAAGCCCGGGGCUCAACCCCGGAACUGCCUUUGAAACUAGAUGACUGGAAUCUUGGAGAGGUCAGUGGAAUUCCGAGUGUAGAGGUGAAAUUCGUAGAUAUUCGGAAGAACACCAGUGGCGAAGGCGACUGACUGGACAAGUAUUGACGCUGAGGUGCGAAAGCGUGGGGAGCAAACAGGAUUAGAUACCCGCGUAGUCCCUGUCUCUUAUAC
rnacentral:rRNA from 1 species